UACGAAGGGGACUAGCGUUGUUCGGAAUCACUGGGCGUAAAGCGCACGUAGGCGGAUUCGUAAGUCAGGGGUGAAAUCCCGGGGCUCAACCUCGGAACUGCCUUUGAUACUGCGGGUCUUGAGUCCGAUAGAGGUGGGUGGAAUUCCUAGUGUAGAGGUGAAAUUCGUAGAUAUGACAUAGAACACCAAUUGCGAAGGCAGCUCACUACGCGAAUAUUGACACUGAGGCACGAAAGCGUGGGGAUCAAACAGG
rnacentral:rRNA from 1 species